rnacentral:piRNA from 1 species
UAGAUUAGUAACUUAAGAAUG